rnacentral:rRNA from 1 species
GACGAACGCUGGCGGCGUGCUUAACACAUGCAAGUCGAACGGAGUGGCGAACGGGUGAGUAACACGUGGGUGAUCUGCCUUGCACUUGGGGUUACUCUUGGGAACCUGGGCUUAUUACCGGAAAGUGCAAGAUGAGCCCGCGGCGUAUGAGCUUGUUGGUGGGGUAAUGGCCGACCAAGGCGACGACUGGUAGCCGGCCUGAGAGGGUGUACGGGUACCUGGGGACUGAGAUAGGCCGCAGACGGCUACGGGAGGCAGCGGUGGGAAAUAUUGUGCAAUGGGCGGGAGGCUGAUGCGGCGACGCCGGGGGGGUGAGGAAGGCCUUCGGGUUGUAAACUCCUUUCGACAGGGACGCGGUACCGGUAGAAGAAGCACCGGCUAACUACGUGCCAGCAGCCGCGGUAAUAC